UGAGGAAUAUUGCACAAUGGGCGCAAGCCUGAUGCAGCGACGCCGCGUGGGUGAAGAAGGUUUUCGGAUCGUAAAACCCUUUUCUGUGUGACGAGAACGGACGGUAGCACAGGAAUAAGUCUCGGCUAACUACGUGCCAGCAGCCGCGGUAAAACGUAGGAGACAAACGUUAUCCGGAGUUACUGGGCGUAAAGGGCGUGCAGGCGGCAGUCUAAGUCUGGCGUGAAAUAUCCCGGCUUAACCGGGGAAGGUCGUCGGAUACUGGGCAGCUAGAGGGCGGUAGAGGCGUGUGGAAUUCCGGGUGUAGUGGUGAAAUGCGUAGAGAUCCGGAGGAACACCAGUGGCGAAGGCGACACGCUGGGCCGCACCUGACGCUAAGACGCGACAGCAUGGGGAGCAAGCAGGAUUAGAUACCCCCGUAGUCCCUGAGCGGGCUGGCAAGGCGCAU
rnacentral:rRNA from 1 species